AUUCAGUUAACUUAAUUACCAGUAAGAGUUAAACCCAUAGACUGUGGAUGCUUGAGAGUUUCCAGGAAGUGUUGGCAGGGAACUAGAAGAACAAAUGACAAAUGAGUGUGAGUUUUUUAAUUGAAAUAGGACCACCCUGCUGAAGUCUUUUGUGUGAGCAAAGGAGAGCUGGGAGUGAUGAUUUAAGCCAGAAACAAGACAUGGAAUUUCCAGCAAUAUCUGUGCCUAGGGAAGGACUAACCUUGGAACAACAGAUAUGUAGAACGAGCACUGGGAACAAGUGUUUUUGCCACUGCUGAAAGAAGAAGAGAGGAAUACAAUCUAUAAUGGCAAGAGAGAAUACCAAAGUAUGUGAGAAGGGUGAAGGAAAAAAGAGCAACUGAAAAGAUCACUCCUUUAAGAAUAACUAGAAUCGUUUAUCAAGAUAAUAUGUUAACACAAGGAAAGGCAAAUGCACAGCCUAUUUCCAAAUGGAUAAAUAAAAUAAUACGUUCUAAACCAA